rnacentral:rRNA from 1 species
UACGAGUGCCCCGAGCGUUAUCCGGAAUUAUUGGGCGUAAAGGGUGUGUAGGCGGCUGUGUUAGUCUUUUGUUAAAUUCUUCGGCUUAACCGGGGACAUGCAAAGGAAACGGCACAACUAGAGGAUGCGAGAGGUAAAUGGAACUCAUGGAGUAGGGGUGAAAUCCGUUGAUAUCAUGGGGAACACCGAAAGCGAAGGCAAUUUACUGGCGCACUCCUGACGCUGAAACACGAAAGCGUAGGUGAGCGAAAUGGG